GAUGAACGCUGGCGGUGUGCCUAAUACAUGCAAGUCGAGCGAACGGACGAGAAGCUUGCUUCUCUGAUGUUAGCGGCGGACGGGUGAGUAACACGUGGAUAACCUACCUAUAAGACUGGGAUAACUUCGGGAAACCGGAGCUAAUACCGGAUGAUAUUUUGAACCGCAUGGUUCAAAAGUGAAAGACGGUCUUGCUGUCACUUAUAGAUGGAUCCGCGCUGCAUUAGCUAGUUGGUAAGGUAACGGCUUACCAAGGCAACGAUGCAUAGCCGACCUGAGAGGGUGAUCGGCCACACUGGAACUGAGACACGGUCCAGACUCCUACGGGAGGCAGCAGUAGGGAAUCUUCCGCAAUGGGCGAAAGCCUGACGGAGCAACGCCGCGUGAGUGAUGAAGGUCUUCGGAUCGUAAAACUCUGUUAUUAGGGAAGAACAUAUGUGUAAGUAACUGUGCACAUCUUGACGGUACCUAAUCAGAAAGCCACGGCUAACUACGUGCCAGCAGCCGCGGUAAUACGUAGGUGGCAAGCGUUAUCCGGAAUUAUUGGGCGUAAAGCGCGCGUAGGCGGUUUUUUAAGUCUGAUGUGAAAGCCCACGGCUCAACCGUGGAGGGUCAUUGGAAACUGGAAAACUUGAGUGCAGAAGAGGAAAGUGGAAUUCCAUGUGUAGCGGUGAAAUGCGCAGAGAUAUGGAGGAACACCAGUGGCGAAGGCGACUUUCUGGUCUGUAACUGACGCUGAUGUGCGAAAGCGUGGGGAUCAAACAGGAUUAGAUACCCUGGUAGUCCACGCCGUAAACGAUGAGUGCUAAGUGUUAGGGGGUUUCCGCCCCUUAGUGCUGCAGCUAACGCAUUAAGCACUCCGCCUGGGGAGUACGACCGCAAGGUUGAAACUCAAAGGAAUUGACGGGGACCCGCACAAGCGGUGGAGCAUGUGGUUUAAUUCGAAGCAACGCGAAGAACCUUACCAAAUCUUGACAUCCUUUGACAACUCUAGAGAUAGAGCCUUCCCCUUCGGGGGACAAAGUGACAGGUGGUGCAUGGUUGUCGUCAGCUCGUGUCGUGAGAUGUUGGGUUAAGUCCCGCAACGAGCGCAACCCUUAAGCUUAGUUGCCAUCAUUAAGUUGGGCACUCUAAGUUGACUGCCGGUGACAAACCGGAGGAAGGUGGGGAUGACGUCAAAUCAUCAUGCCCCUUAUGAUUUGGGCUACACACGUGCUACAAUGGACAAUACAAAGGGCAGCGAAACCGCGAGGUCAAGCAAAUCCCAUAAAGUUGUUCUCAGUUCGGAUUGUAGUCAGCAACUCGACUAUAUGAAGCUGGAAUCGCUAGUAAUCGUAGAUCAGCAUGCUACGGUGAAUACGUUCCCGGGUCU
rnacentral:rRNA from 1 species